UCCAGACUCCUACGGGAGGCAGCAGUGGGGAAUAUUGGGCAAUGGGGGAAACCCUGACCCAGCGACGCCGCGUGAGGGAAGAAGGUUUUCGGAUUGUAAACCUCUGUCCUUGGUGACGAUAAUGACGGUAGCCAAGGAGGAAGCCACGGCUAACUACGUGCCAGCAGCCGCGGUAAUACUGAGGGUGCAAGCGUUACUCGGAAUCACUGGGCGUAAAGAGCGCGUAGGCGGGAUAGCAAGUCAGAUGUGAAAUCCUAUGGCUUAACCAUAGAACUGCAUUUGAAACUGUUAUUCUAGAGUAUGGGAGAGGUAGGUGGAAUUCUUGGUGUAGGGGUAAAAUCCGUAGAGAUCAAGAGGAAUACUCAUUGCGAAGGCGACCUGCUAGAACAUAACUGACGCUGAUGCGCGAAAGCGUGGGGAGCAAACAGGAUUAGAUACCCCCGUA
rnacentral:rRNA from 1 species